rnacentral:tRNA from 1 species
GGAGAGGUGGCCGAGCGGCUGAAGGCGCUCCCCUGCUAAGGGAGUAUGCGGGUAAGACUGCAUCGAGGGUUCGAAUCCCUCCCUCUCCGCCA